GAUGAACGCCGGCGGCGUGCCUAAUACAUGCAAGUCGAGCGAAUGGAUUAAGAGCUUGCUCUUAUGAAGUUAGCGGCGGACGGGUGAGUAACACGUGGGUAACCUGCCCAUAAGACUGGGAUAACUCCGGGAAACCGGGGCUAAUACCGGAUAACAUUUUGAACCGCAUGGUUCGAAAUUGAAAGGCGGCUUCGGCUGUCACUUAUGGAUGGACCCGCGUCGCAUUAGCUAGUUGGUGAGGUAACGGCUCACCAAGGCAACGAUGCGUAGCCGACCUGAGAGGGUGAUCGGCCACACUGGGACUGAGACACGGCCCAGACUCCUACGGGAGGCAGCAGUAGGGAAUCUUCCGCAAUGGACGAAAGUCUGACGGAGCAACGCCGCGUGAGUGAUGAAGGCUUUCGGGUCGUAAAACUCUGUUGUUAGGGAAGAACAAGUGCUAGUUGAAUAAGCUGGCACCUUGACGGUACCUAACCAGAAAGCCAUGGCUAACUACGUGCCAGCAGCCGCAGUAA
rnacentral:rRNA from 1 species